CUUGACCGAGCCCAGCAGCAGCGGCCGGUCGGCGUCCCUGCCCUGGCCGUAGGUGGCCAGGAGCGCCUGGGCUUC
rnacentral:antisense_RNA from 1 species